ACGAUUCAGAGAAACAACAACUCAGGAGUGAACAUUAUUUUUUGUUUGACUAUUUGGUCUAUUUAAGAAGAAAGAACGAAGUGCCAUCGUAGGUUUUCGACCGCAGUAGCAGUGUUAUCAGAUGACCGAUUCAAUAACUGGCUCUCACAUUAUAGGCGAAAGAUUUUACAGACACAACACCGCCUUCGGUAACCAGAUUUUGAUCAGGUUUUUUUGAUACGGCCUGAGCUGUGCUUUUAUACCCGGAAAAGUUGAAAAGACUUUUACGACUGCAACCUACGUUAAUUUGCGUGAGAAUUUUACUGAUAGAAAGAGGUGCAAACGGCAGGAACCUAUUUACUCAGAUUAGAUUUGUGGACGAGUCCCAAGACGGUACCCUAUUAGGCGAGCAUCCAAGAAGAGACUCAACAUGAAACUUGUUGGCUCGUAGUCACAUCGACGGUCCAGAUUAUCUUCGACGUGAACUUUAGCAUUACGCUCGUAUCUAGAGCGAU